rnacentral:rRNA from 1 species
AUACGGAGGAUGCGAGCGUUAUCCGGAUUUAUUAGGUUUAAAGGGUGUGUAGGCGGUAUUUUAAGUCAGGGGUGAAAUCUCGGAGCUUAACUUCGAAACUGCCAUUGAUACUGGAAUACUUGAGUAUAGUUGAGGUAGGCGGAAUAUGUAAUGUAGCGGUGAAAUGCAUAGAUAUUACAUAGAACACCGAUUGCGAAGGCAGCUUACUAAACUAUUACUGACGCUGAUGCACGAAAGCGUGGGGAGCGAACAGGAUUAGAAACCCGGGUAGUCC